AUCCAGCUGACGAGUCUUAAAUAGGACGAAACGCGUGUCCUGGAU
rfam:Schistosoma margrebowiei strain Zambia genome assembly, scaffold: SMRZ_contig0006759